UGGGGCAUGAUUGCCUUCUUCUUGA
rnacentral:tRNA from 1 species